GGCCGCCGGGAAAAUUCAGAGUAGACAACGAAAUGGAAGUUACAACAUGCGGAUCCAAAGUUGCUACAACUUUCUGAUCACGGCAAUGAAGAUCCUAUUCAAUCCAGGACUUCUUUCUCCCUUAAACUAUGCCACUCUCUAAAUCAUCCUCAAGCCUGGCUCGCUUUCCCUUGCUUCCUCACCAGUCGUUUUCUCCUCAAGAUGGUGUCUUUCUCAACUGAAUCCUCCCCGGUCGAUGGAUUGCAAGUUUCUUAGCUCGUGGUUCUCCGCUCUUUCUCGAGGUUCAACUCGUGACAUUAGCCUGUUUCGUCUCUGCCAAGUGAUGGGUAAAGGAGGAGAUAAAAGCAUCUUUUGUGGGAUUUGGCAUCAAAUGAAAGUCCACCAUUUGAGGCAAAUAGCAGAAACCAGCAACAAUCUUGGAGACAAAGCAACUGUCGAAGAUACUAAACGCCGGGGAGCCUAAAACUUCAUUGGCCUCCGCAAGUCAAUAAAUCAAGGUUCU